rnacentral:rRNA from 1 species
GAUGAACGCUGGCGGCGUGCCUAAUACAUGCAAGUCGAGCGAACAGACGAAGAGCUUGCUCCUCUGACGUUAGCGGCGGACGGGUGAGUAACACGUGGAUAACCUACCUAUAAGACUGGGAUCACUUCGGGAAACCGGAGCUAAUACCGGAUAAUAUAUUGAACCGCAUGGUUCAAUAGUGAAAGACGGUUUUGCUGUCACUUAUAGAUGGAUCCGCGCCGCAUUAGCUAGUUGGUAAGGUAACGGCUUACCAAGGCAACGAUGCGUAGCCGACCUGAGAGGGUGAUCGGCCACACUGGAACUGAGACACGGUCCAGACUCCUACGGGAGGCAGCAGUAGGGAAUCUUCCGCAAUGGGCGAAAGCCUGACGGAGCAACGCCGCGUGAGUGAUGAAGGUCUUCGGAUCGUAAAACUCUGUUAUUAGGGAAGAACAAAUGUGUAAGUAACUAUGCACGUCUUGACGGUACCUAAUCAGAAAGCCACGGCUAACUACGUG